UACGUAGGGGGCUAGCGUUGUCCGGAAUUACUGGGCGUAAAGGGCUCGUAGGCGGCCAACUAAGUCAGACGUGAAAUCCCUAGGCUCAACCUAGGAACUGCGUCUGAUACUGGAUGGCUUGAAUCCGGGAGAGGGAUGCAGAAUUCCAGGUGUAGCGGUGAAAUGCGUAGAUAUCUGGAGGAAUACCGGUGGCGAAGGCGGCAUCCUGGACCGGCAUUGACGCUGAGGAGCGAAAGCCAGGGGAGCAAACGGG
rnacentral:rRNA from 1 species